rnacentral:lncRNA from 1 species
CCGUAAAAUUUGCUUUAAAACUCCAAAUGAAUGCUCUUUUUAUCAAGCUAGAUUAAAUGUUAGUCAACCCAAAUUGAGUGCACACACCUCUAUCAGAUCAAUUAGUGUCAUGUAAUACGUAUAUAUCGUAUACUUUAGCAAUUAUUUCAAAUGGAAUUCUUCUCUCCAAACCUUUUCCUAGUUGAUAGAUCACCUGUUAUCUUGAAGUUUGUGUAAGCUGUUUUCUCAACCAUCGUAUCUGUAAACUUACCUUCCUCACCUAGAUUGUCUCCAAACAAUAAGCAACAGAGUAAAAACAAUAAAUAAUAAAUCUACAUGGUCCGAUGGUAUUUAACCAACUCUUCAAAAAAAACUCGUUACGCCUACAUGUAUCAAGGUUGUUUUGCGAUGUUCAAACUUGUAGCCCUUACGCAAUUCUAAACUGUCCCCCAAAACUCUGCCUCUUUUGUUGACCAGCAUAGACAAAAGAAAAGAAUGUAUCGAAAAAGGUAAAAAAAUCAAAGCUCUUUACACUAAGCAUGCUGAAAAUAGGAGACAAUAACGAGCAAUAUGCUUACUUCAGUAACAACACAACAUAAAUAACUAAUCCUCAAAACAAAUCUAAACGCCAUGCCUUUAUCAGUAAUAUUCAGGUAGCAAAAUAAAAGCUCCAAUUGUACAUAAAUGACCAAAGUAAAAUUUUAUUAUAAGAAAGUAAUAGAAGGGCCGAAACCUUAACUUGGAAAAAAAAGCUGGGAGAAAACAUUGAUUCUUCAGUAUUAUCUUAACUUAACAAAACCCCAAUAUCCUUUCCGUAAUCCUCAACCUCCAACAAAAAAUAAUAAUAAUAAACAAUCUUAGCAGAAUAGUAAAUAUAAGCCUAACAAAUCAACAAUUAUGUCUAGUUAAGACUAAACACUUGAAUUGGAUGUCAAACGACCCUUUCUCACUUGAAACCAAGAUUGUUGAUAGAAUGCACAGACUAAAGAAAGACUUGCAUUUAUUGACUGUACAUCUCAACUCAAGCAAUCAUUAAGUUCAACUUAUGUAAUCGAUACUAUUGGUAAACAGAGUACAUACCAGAAGUGUAGCUUGUCCAGCUUCAUCCAUUACGCACAUACAAAAUCUUCUUGACAGGCAAGGGACCGGUCAUCCCGAAACAAGUAACAGCAUCAACUUCGUUCUGGUCUAGUACAAAAGCUAUGACCUGCACCAGUAUUUAUUUCAGUUGAUUGCCAAAAUAACUAAGAAUAGUGAUUCAAUAACUAAGGUUAUGAAUUUAAUUUCCUAUUUGGAAAUUAUGAAUACUAAUGUUCCUAAAAAUUCAGCGCAAUUUGAAGGUUAAAAACUUCCUAAUCGCCAAUCUUGACAGGCUAAAUCCACAAAAAAAAAACGUAGGGGAACAUGAAGAAGAAACAUGCCUUCUUUCUAAUACAUUGGUAAAAAACCCAAGCAGAAAAAGCCUAUAUUCUGAAAAAUUAUUUGACUCAAUCGCCCUAUUAACUACUUAAAAAAAUUACAUAAUUUAAUGGUGCACAAAUCCUCUGUGAAUGGAUUUGUGGCCAAAGAAUUGGCAAGGUCUGAAACCGUAGUAUUCAAAGCUAGUGAUAGACAUGAAUCGAGGUUGGGCCAUCAUCUCAUACAACCAGAGAACAUCAUAAUACCCUAAACCAUGACCAAGGGUGGAGCACCCGAGAGAAGCUCAAGCAACAAACCAGUUAACGUUUUCUUUAAGAACGGCUAGACUUGUAGACAUUUAUAUAGUUUUGUUUCCUUUUUUGUGUGAAAAAAAAAAAAAAAAAAAGAUCUUCAAAGAUCUUACUUACCCAAAGAUGAAGGUAUCUUACAUGAAAAAUGAGAUUUUCAGAGAAAUUCAUAGAAAAGAGAUAGCCAUCAAACUUCAGCUUUACCGUGAGAUCAGUAUUUACAUGCCAACAAAGAACAUUUCACAAAUUAACUUUAGUUUAAUGCCAAAACUACGAACUCUAAUCCAACCUCACCAACGGCAAACGUGUGUGAGACAUCACUAUAAGUAGUUCAUUCCCUAAUGCAUUUCUAACAAGGUAUUUUGUUAUACUUCAUAUGUUCAAGCAAAGUUUUGGAUCACAUUCCAACCAUCUAAUAGUGGAUUUGCAACUUAUUCAUGAUUCAUGUUAUGCAGCAUUAUAAUUGAACAAAUGUCCAUAACUAAGUACCUUUUUGAAAUCAGGAAUCAUAACCUAGUAGGGAAGAAUCAUAGAGUCAAUUUAGCAAAUAAACAACAUCGCUAGAAGGAUCAGAUGACGUGGUUUAUGACCAAGCAUGGUGGUAUUAAGCCACACACCCUACAACUUUUGACAAUAGAACCUCUGGAAUUAUGAACAGGAAAAUAGAAAUUAUAAAAAGACAAAUAAUAAAUUAACAAAAAACGAUAAACACAGAAAUUUGCAUUACAUUUCCAAAACAAAUAUCUAAUUACAAACAAUGAACGCAAAUCUUAUUACAGCAACUAGAAAAAUGGCAUAAUCAAAAAAAUAAAAAUAAAUUGUACCAUUAAGGACUUUAUGGUCCAAGAUAAUUUAGUAUUAAAAAAUUAAAACACUUGGUAAAACAUAAUCUAUCGUCCAACAUUUAUCAGAAACCCAACAUGCAAAGAGUUAGGCAAGUUUUCUGGCCAUUUGAUGCUGAUAUGUUGGGUCCACCCCAUGUGCAUCGGGUGGCCCAAAAGCCCAAAUCUAAUCCUACAAGGAAUAGGAAAAGUGAAUCCUUAUUUUUGGUGGAAUUAGACUUCUAGGAGACUUAUAUAUAAAUCCCACCUAGGGUGGGUUAAUUAGAGUAGAAUCCACAAAACUUACAUAUUCUGUGAGAACGUGUGGGACCAUGACCGAGAGACAUCGUUAACUUCGUGGAUGUUCAGCCCAAGAUCUUGGCCAAUUGAAUCCCGAAUGAGAUAAAAUUUCAGGCGUUUGUUCUCGGCACAUAAUAGGUGAUAUCCAGCUGUCAGAUUAUUGAUUGAAGAGGUCUAAGCCUUUUACUUUUUUAUAGAAGUUGGAAUCCACCUUUAGGUUGAAGUUUACUUCAUUGUGUUAGCCAAAAAUAUUUUAUUCUUGAUGUUGGCAUCCUCUAGGUUUGUCUAGAAAGGAUUAUUGGUGCAACCCAUUAUUAUUGAUAUAGUGGAGGAAUUAACGCCGGUCCUGUAAGCAUAAGCAAAUUAUCCAAUCACGUAAAUUUGGUCUCUCUAUUUUUCAAUAUUAUUUGUUGGUUUCUGGUCUAAUCGUUAGUUUGUUUGAUCCCAUUAAAUCACCCAAAGAGGGAAAAAGUAUUAUUUCCACUACAGAUUUGGUCUUCAUUUCCCAACAUGAUAAUAUUCUCAACAUACCCCUAGGUAAUGGAACGAAUGAAGAUAAGAUGAUCUGGCACUAUACAAAGCAUGGAGAGUAUACGGUCUGGAGUGCGUAAAAUCUGAUAGUUGAGCAAGGUUUGAUUAAAGAGUUUGAAAGGGCUGGAAUGUCUUCUAGUAAUGGACAGCUAAGCUGGAGUUUUCUGUGGAAAUCAAUGUAUACCCACAAAGAGAGAAAGAAUUGCACGGAGAGCUUGUGUGAACGCGUUACCUACCAUUGCUAACCUCAAGGCUAAAAACAUUUGCGACUUGGACUUGUGUUGUGUUUACCAAAUGGAGGUGGAAACACUGCUUCAUGGGGUCAGAGACUACAGAUUUGCCAAGGAUGUGUUUAUCAGUUUCAAUCAGGAAGUUCUUCAAUGCUCAGGAAAUAUUGUCCAAGAGUGGUUUCGCAAUAUUUUUCUCUUUUUGCUCAAAUGAGUUUGCUAGCACCUUGAUGGUGUGUUGGCGGCUUUGGGGCAAUCAAAGUGAUAUUUUACACAAUAAAAAUCGCAGCAGUGCUGAGGGUAUCGCUAAAAGUGCAUCCGAUAUAUUGAUGGCCUUUGGACCGGCAAAUAGAUAGAUCCCUCCAGUGGCUGGUAUGUUCAAAGUCAAUUUUGAUGGUGCUAUUUUUUAGGAAGAUAAGGCUCUUUUGGAGUUGGUGGUAUUAUUACGGAUGAAUUUGGUCAGUUUGUGGCAGCAAUAUCAAAGAAUCUUCAACUUGUUGAGCUCUUGGCAGCUAGGCGCAAUUCUUUUUACCAAAUAUUUAAAGUGCUAUGAGAUUGUGCUGGAGGGAGACUCUUAUGAGACAAUUAAAUCUAUUAAUGGUUAGAAGAAGCUUUAGAAGAAUUGAGUUCAAAGCUGUUAGAUGUACUGGGAAUUGGGUAGCACAUCAUUGUCUAGGAAUACUCGAUUUAUUUUUUAUAGUGAUAUAUGCUUGGAAGAGGCUCAUCAACCUUCCCCAUUGCAAAUUUUCCAAUUAUUUCAAUAAAACACCCUCAUUGUCAAAAGGAAAAAAAAUAAAUUAGGAAUCAGAGAACGACAUACCCAAAUUGACAAAUCCCAUUACAGUCCAUUAAGAUAACAAAAAAUAAUAUAAUAUAAUAUAAAACUAAAGCAAAACCAUAAAGAAAUAAAGAAGUAUAGAAGUGAAAGAAAGAACUAUGACCCCCCUUGAUGAAGUUUUGGAUGUGGUUGAGGGCGGCGCGAAUGGCAGCGGUGGCCUUCCUCGAUCCAAACCACGACUCGAUCUUGACCUUCUUCUUGCCGGUGGAAUCGUCGGUUGAGGAGCUUAAAAUUGCAGUUGAGGCUUCCCCAAGGAGAAACAUAGAGAUAGAAACGUAAAGAAAUGAAAGCCCUAGAACUUUGUAUAGAAUUUUCAAAAAUUAUUUUUUAUUUUGUCCUCAAAAGUGUGGAGAAAAUAAGGACACAUGAUCAAAACAACGCAAACAAUGUCUUUUCUCAUUCUGUCCAACUCAACAAAAGAAAAAAUCUAAAUAAGGGCAAAAUUGGAAAGCAAAUUAGGCUCCAAGAACUGACUCAAACAGUAAAAUAAAAACGGCUUUAUAUAUAGGAAGGAAAGGAUUGACAACAAAUUAAAUCACCUUUGAAAGAAUCCAAAACCAAAAUCAGGUUGGCUCGACCACAUUAACAAUACAUAGCCCAUAGCCCAAGUACAUAUACACUUGAACUUGGAUUUUGUAGUCUAACGAAAUGGGAUAUGAUUGCUGCAUUAAAAGGUAAAUCAGAGGCUAAACUUUUUAUUGCUUUCUCGAUGUGUGAUGUUAAAAUGUUGUGUUCUAAGCUCUCUUGACAUGGGUUGUUAUGUUCCAAAACAAAUAUCUAAUUACAAACAAUGAACGCAAAUUGUAUUACAACAAUUAGAAAAAUGGCAUAAUAACAAAAAAUAAAUAAAUUGUAGUCCCGUUAAGGAUCUUACGGUCCAAGAUAAUUUAGUAUUAAAAAAUAAAAACACUUAGUACAACAAAAUCUAUCGUCCAACAUUUAUCAAAAACCCAACAUGCAAAAAGUUAGGCAAGUUUUUUGGCCAUUUGAUGCUGACAUGUUGGGUCCGCCUCAUGUGCAUCAGAUGGCCCAAAAACCCAAAUCUAAUCCUAUAAGGAAUAGGAAAUCCCACCUAGUGUGGGUUAAUUAGAGUAGAAUCCACAAAACUUACAUAUUCUGUGAGAACGUGCGGGAUCGUGACUGAGAAACGUCGUCAACUUCGUGGAUGUUCAGCCCACGAUCUUGGCCUAUUGAAUCCCAAUUGAGAUGAAAUUUCAGGCCUUUGUUCUCGGCACAUAAUAGGUGAUAUCCACUGGUUAGAUUAUUGAUUGGUGAGGUCUAAGCCUUUUCGUCAUUUUUGUUAGCCAAUAAUAUUUUUUCUUGAUGUUGGUAUAUCCUCUAGGUUUGUCUAGAGAGGAAUAUUGGUGUCAUCCAUUAUUAUUGAUAUAUGGAGGAAUUGACUUCGGUCCCGUGAACGUAGGCAAAUUAUUGAAACACGUAAAUUUGGCGUCUCACUAUUUUUCAUUAUUAUUUGUUCUUUUCAUUCAGUGUUCUGAUUUAAUCAUUAAUUUGUUUAGUCCCAUUAAAUCACCCAAAGAGGGAAAAAGAUAUCAUUUUCGCUUCAAAUUUGUUCUUUACCCAACAUGAUAAUAUUCUCAACAUACCCCUAGGUAAUGGCACAGAUGAAGAUAACUUGAUCUGGCACUAUACAAAGCAUGGAAAGUAUACGGUCUAGAGUGUGUACAAUCUGAUAGUUGAGCAAGGUUUGAUUAAAGAGUUUGAAAGGGCUGGAGUGUCUUCUAGUAAUGGACAGCUACGCUGGAGUUUUCUGUGGAAAUCAAUGUAUACCCACAAAGAGAAAAAGAAUUGCACGGAGAGCUUGUGUGAACGCGUUACCUACCAUUGCUAACCUCAAAGCUAAAAACAUUUGCGACUUGGACUUGUGUUUACCAAAUGGAGGUGGAAACACUGCUUCAUGGGGUCAGAGACUACAGAUUUGCCAAGGAUGUGUUUAUCAGUUUCAAUCAAGAAGUUCUUCAAUGCUCAGGGAUUAAUGUCCAAGAGUGGCUUCGCAAUGUUUCUGACUCUUUUUGCUCAAAUGAGUUUGCUUUCACCUUGAUGGUGUGUUGGCGGCUUUGGGGCAAUCGAAAUGAUGCUGUACACAAUAACAAUCACAGCAGUGCCGAGGGUAUCACUAAAAGUGCAUCCGAGAUAUUGGUGGCCUUUGUAGAAAUGAAUAGAUAGGUCCCUCCAGUGGCUGGUAUGUUCAAAGUCGAUUUUGAAGGUGCUAUUUUUCAGGAAGUUAAGGCUUUUUUGGAGUUAGUGGUAUUGUUAUAGAUGAACUUGUUCAGUUUGUGGCAGCAAUAUCAAAUAAGCUUCAAUUUACUGGCACCCAUCAACAUGUUGAGCUCUUGGCGGCUAGGCAGGCAAUUCUUUUUGUCAAACAUUUAAAGUGCUAUGAGAUUGUGCUAGAGAGAGACUAUUGACGGGAUAAUUAAAUCUAUUAAUGGUCAAAAGCUUUAGAAGAAUUGAGUUCAAAGAUGUCAGAUGUACUGAGAAUUGGGUAGUACGAUAGUGAUAUAUGUUUGGAAGAGGCUCCUCAACCUCCCUCAUUACAAAUUUUCCAAUUAUUCAAUAAAAUACCCUCAUUAUCAAAAAGGGGGGAAAAAAGAAAUUGGAAUCAGAGAACGACAUACCCAAAUUGACAAAUCCCAUUACAGUCCCUUAAGAUAACAAAAAAUAAAAUAAAAUAAAUUAAAACUAAAGCAAACCCAUACAGAAAUAAAAAAGUAUAGAAGUGAAAUAAAGAAGUAUGACCCCCUUUGAUGAGGAUUUCGAUGUGGUCGAGGCGGCAUGAAUGGUGGUAGUAGUGUUCCUUUUUUCCGGAUAUAAAAUUCAGAGCGAGAGAGCACUUGCGAUAUUCUGCCAAGAAAGCUAUGAAUCUCACCAGUGGACUUUACUCGAUCCGAACCACGACUCGAUCUUGAUCUUCUUCUUGCCGGUGGAAUUGUCAGUUGAUGAGCUUGAAAUUGCAGUUGAGGCUUCCUAAGGAGAAACGUAGAGAUAGAAACGUAAAGAAAUGAAAGACCUAUAACUCUGUAACAGAGUUUCAAAAAUCAUUUUUUUGACACCGCAAUCCUUCCACAUUUCGUAAGAGUACAAAACCCAAAACCCAAAUUCAAGUGUAUAUGUACUUGAGCUAUGUGCUAUGUAUUGUUAAUGUGGUGGGGCCAACCUGAUUUUGGCUUUGGGUUAUCUGAGCCUAAUUGCCAUCCGAUUUUGCCCUUUUCUUGCUUUUUUCUUUUGCUGAGUUGAAGAGCGUGGGUCAGUAGAAAAGACGUUGUUGCCUCUAUUUUGAUUAUGUGUCCUAAUUUUUUCCACAGUUUUGAGGGCAAAAAUAAAAAAAGAUUUUUGAAAAUCCUAUACAGAGUUCUAGGUCUUUCAUUUCUUUACGUUUUUAUCUCUACGUUUCUCCUUAGGAAGCCUCAACUACAAUUUCAAGCUCCUCAACCGACGAUUUCACCGACAAGAAGGUCAAGAUUGAAUUGCAGGUAGGAUCAAGUAAGGCCAUUGCUGCCAUUCGCGCCACCCUCAACCACAUCCCAAACGUCAUAGGGGCAAUUUCUACAAGACGCAUGUCAUGUUCCUAUAACCAAUACAACAACAAAUCUAUUGAGAUUCAUAGCUUCCUUGGCAGAAUAUCACAAGUGUUGUCUUGCUCUGAAUUUUAUAUCCGGAAAAAAAGGAGUUUUCUUUCACUUCUAUAAUUCUUUAUUUCUGUAUGGCUUUGCUUUAUUUUUAUUUUAUUUUUUGUUGUUGUUAUCUUAAUGGACUAUAAUGGGAUUUGUCAAUUUGGGUUUGGGUAUGUCAUUCUCUGAUUCCUAAUUUUUUUUCUUAUUGAUAAUGAGGGUAUUUAAUUGUAUAAUCGAAAUUUUUUUCAAUGAGGAAGGUCGAGUAGCCUCAUCCAAGCAUAUAUCACUAUCAAGAAUAAAAUGAGCAUUUCUAGCCAAAUAAUGUGCUACCCAAUUCGCAGUACGUCUAACAGCUUUGAACUCAAUUCUUCUAAAGUUUCUACUAACCAUUAAUAUAUUUAAUUGUCUCAUUAGAGUUUCCCUCCAGCACAAUCUCGUAGCACUUUAAAUGUUUGGCAAAAAGAAUUGCCUGUCUAGCUACCAAGAGCUCAACAUGUUGAGGGGUGCCAGCAAAUUGAAGCUUCUUUGGAUUUCUUUCCAAUUCUAUACUCUUUUUGAUAAAUAAACUUGGACACGCUACAAAUCAAUUGUAAAAUUGGGCCUCCAUUUGCGGAUCUUGCCUGCGGUCCCCAUAACUAAUAUAUUCUAUAUAGGCAAUGUUAACAUUCGGGCCCCCAAAAUAUGGCCCAAUGAGAGACCCAAAGCAACCACUUUCAGGGGCCAUACUCAAUUUUAUUUACAUUAAUUAUUACAUAUAUAGGUUGGUAUUUUAUGUAUUGACAAUAUUUACUUUAACUUUAUUGACAUUUGUUUCUGUGAAGUGGUAAAGCGCAAACGGUUGAGCCAGCAACAACCUCAUUGGCCAUGAUAUUGUCCAUUUUCCAACACUUCAUUAAAGAAAGCCAGGACUAAAAUUGAUCUUUGUUCUAUCAUCUACUACCAAACUAAAACUUUUGCAGGGUGCCAGGGACAAAUGGGUUACUUGCGAAAACAUCACCUAAACUAUACACAUUUUAUUCAGAUUGUCCCUAAAGUAUUAAAUCGGUCCACUCAGCCUUUUAACUAUCUAAUUGAAGUCAAUUUAACCCUUAUAAUUAUAAUACUACGUUCAUAAACCCGAAUAAUUUUAAGAACAUAAAAAUACUCUUUUAAAUUUCAAAAAAAACUUUUAAGUAUCUAAAAUUUGUAGUUUGGUAAUCAUUAUGUGUGUCUUUUGGUAGGGCCCGGUACUCAGACUAAAAUAAUAUAAAUCAUAAAUAAAAAUGUAAAAGAACUUCUUUGAGCCAAAUCUAUGACUACUAUAGAUUAAAUUUAGGCUUGGAAUAACUCAUAUUGGGAUAUUAUAUUGGAUAUCAAAUAUUCUUGUAUAAAGAGGACGUUUGUUCUUAUCAAAUUAAUUUAGAUUUAUUAACUUGUUAUUAAAUAAAAAAAAAUUCAAAACCUUUCUUGUAAUUAAAAAACUUUAAAAGGUAGCACCUGUAAUUAGCUAAAUUAGAUAAUUGAGGGAUGACGUAGAUGCAAUCAAUAGUUAAGGUACGAAGUAGAAAAAAUCUGAAUAGUUUAAGGGAAUAGAGUUAUACAAUGACGGGAAAUAUAAAACUGAAACUACUAUUAGAUCACUGACUAUUCACCUAAAAAAGUUUCUGAUGUGCCAAACUCAGAGAAAAAAAAUUCCAGGACCUUCUCCGAGGACAUGGUAAAAAUAUGGAAAUUAAACAAAAUAACAUGAAAACUAAACCAGAGAUCCAAAAAUUAUACCCAAACAUGGCAGAUUCAUAAAGCACAUCGACAGAGAUACCAGAACAACAAUGAGUGCCAAGAGUCGCUACACCUGUAAAUUGAAACCCCAGCCAAGCUCCACGCGAGAUGCCGUCCAUCCUUUUCAAGUCCUCCCUCCACAAAGAUCCCUUGGAACCCUAGCCGCCCAGCCCAAGGACCACCCCUGUCACAAUCCCGACUUGAACCCGCCGGCCACACAAAACCUUACGAAACAGAGAGAGAUGAGGCAUGAAGACGGAGUGCCCUUGGAAUAUAGAGAGGGUGAGGAUGCCUAGGGCUCGUAGUGGGGAUUGAAAAUUAAGGGGGGAAAUUAAAACCCCGUAGGGAAGUUUUUAAGUUCUGGUCAAAAAAUUGAAAUAGACGG